rnacentral:rRNA from 1 species
GACAGAGGUGCCGAGCGUUAGGCGGAAUCACUGGGCUUAAAGCGUGUGUAGGCGGGUCGUUAAGUGUCUUGUGAAAUCCCACCGCUCAACGGUGGAACUGCUGGGCAUACUGGCGAUCUUGAGCCACCUAGGGGCAGACGGAACAAGCGGUGGAGCGGUGAAAUGCGUAGAUAUCGCUUGGAACGCCGACGGUGAAAACAGUCUGCUGGGGGUGUGCUGACGCUGAGACACGAAAGCCAGGGGAGCAAACAGG